GCUCUGCUCCACAGGUAACCUUAGAUAAAUAGAAGAUAAAACUUAAACUUUUUUGUUUGUCAAUUGUUAAAACUAUUUGCAUAUAUUCUUAUCAUAAAGUUAAAAAUUAAAACUAAAUGUAAAUUUGGAUAGAAAUGUCAAAAGGAUUCAGGAUCCUCCAUCUGUGCCUUUCCUUUCUCUCUUGAUCACUUCUUCAUUCAUUUAGUUUUCCUAAAAGCAAGUAACUUUUAGCAGCCUAUGUUUUCAGGUGUCCCAAAAAUGUAGCAAAUAUCUUUGUCCAUCCAAGUCAUAAGGCAACAAUGAAAAAGCUAAUAAUUUCUCAUACGUGGCUAAUAAAGAUCAUAAAGUUGAUUAAAGUAUAUCUCAAAAGAAAACAAAAUAGAAAGUAGUAGAACCUGCCCAUGAGCCAAUU
rnacentral:lncRNA from 1 species